UCGGGAAUUUUGGGCAAUGGGCGAAAGCCUGAUCCAGCAAUGCCGCGUGAGUGAUGAAGGCCUUAGGGUUGUAAAGCUCUUUUACCAGGGAUGAUAAUGACAGUACCUGGAGAAUAAGCUCCGGCUAACUCCGUGCCAGCAGCCGCGGUAAUACGGAGGGAGCUAGCGUUGUUCGGAAUUACUGGGCGUAAAGCGUACGUAGGCGGUGACUCAAGUCAGAGGUGAAAGCCUGGAGCUCAACUCCAGAACUGCCUUUGAAACUAGGUCGCUAGAAUCACGGAGAGGUGAGUGGAAUUCCGAGUGUAGAGGUGAAAUUCGUAGAUAUUCGGAAGAACACCAGUGGCGAAGGCGGCUCACUGGACGUGUAUUGACGCUGAGGUACGAAAGCGUGGGGAGCAAACAGGAUUAGAUACCCUCGUAGUCCCUGAGCGGGCUGGCAAGGCGCAU
rnacentral:rRNA from 1 species